AUUGAACGCUGGCGGCAUGCUUUACACAUGCAAGUCGAACGGUAACAGGCCGCAAGGUGCUGACGAGUGGCGAACGGGUGAGUAAUGCAUCGGAACGUGCCCAGUCGUGGGGGAUAACGCAGCGAAAGCUGUGCUAAUACCGCAUACGAUCUAUGGAUGAAAGCGGGGGACCGUAAGGCCUCGCGCGAUUGGAGUGGCCGAUGUCAGAUUAGGUAGUUGGUGGGGUAAAGGCCUACCAAGCCGACGAUCUGUAGCUGGUCUGAGAGGACGACCAGCCACACGUGGGCUGGGACACGGCCCAGACUCCUACGGGAGGCAGCAGUGGGGAAUUUUGGACAAUGGGCGCAAGCCUGAUCCAGCAAUGCCGCGUGCAGGAAGAAGGCCUUCGGGUUGUAAACUGCUUUUGUACGGAACGAAACGGUCUGGGUUAAUACCCUGGGCUAAUGACGGUACCGUAAGAAUAAGCACCGGCUAACUACGUGCCAGCCGCCGCAGUAA
rnacentral:rRNA from 1 species